AAAAGGAAACCUCUCAUAGCUCCUCUUGUCUCAUGAAGAAUCUGAGUAGAAAUAUGUGGAUUCCAAAGUGCUUACUCUUUGUAUUGCUUUCUUGUUUUGCCCUAAUAGUUGUGGUUUAUGUACAGGUCCCUCCAGGCUUCAUAAGCAUAGAUUGUGGAGCACUUGAAGGCACCAGCUACAAAGAUGAUACAACUGGAAUAGAUUAUAUUUCAGAUGAAGCUUUUGUAGACACUGGUGUGAGGAAGACUAUAUCCCCUGAAUUCAUGACUAAUUUUCUCCCACCACAGUUUAACAAAGUCAGAAGUUUUCCUCAAGGAACCAAAAACUGCUACACGCUGAGACCUGCACAAGGCAAAGGUAACACGUACUUGAUAAGGGCCAGGUUCAUGUAUGGAAACUAUGAUUCAAAAAAUCAAAUACCCCAAUUUGAUUUGUACAUCGGAGUUGAUUACUGGACCACAAUGAUGUUAGACGAUUCAUCAACUCCCUAUGAGCCGGAGAUCGUACAUGUUCCCUCCACGGAUUAUAUAUACGUUUGUCUCGUAAACAUAGGCCUUGGAACACCAUUCAUAUCAGCAUUAGAGCUAAGGCCUUUGGAUAAGUCUAUGUAUGAAACUACUUCUGGUUCGAUCACUUGGCCUCUUUAUGCGCUAUGAUUAUGGUUCAACCACCGAUGAAUAAGUCAGGAUACGGGAAAGAGGUAGCGGAUGACAAUCCAUCACAAGUGUAGACGGGAUUGGAUGUCUAUAUUUUGCUAUCUUUUGUAAUUGAACUUUAAUAUUUUGUAAAUAUAAUCUUGACUAUUUUGUAAAAUUUUAAUUUAAUUUGUAUAAAGUUGUAAGUUAUGAACUUUUAAUUUUAGCUAUAUUUCAUGGACUGUAACUUAAUGUAAUUAAAGUGCAUUCCUUAUAAAGGAUUAUGGGACUAGGUAGUGGAUUGGUAAUUCCAUAUUUAGAUGAGAUGGAGGAACGAGAUUCUUUUUAUAUGUAUGUGUUGAUUUUGGGAAUAUUGAAUAUUAUUUGUAUUGUGCGUUGGAACAUGAUAGAUUAGUUUUAAGGCCAAGUGAGACCGAUUUUUUUAUUUAUUUUUUAUUUUUUAUGUCACGACCCGAAAAUUCUAAUAAAAUUCUCAAUUUAUACAAAUUCAAAUACAUUAAAAUACACCCAGGAUUUAAAAAAAAAAAAUACCCUCUUUUAUACAAAAUCAAUUUCGUCAAUUUAUAUACAAAAUUCUCCAAAUAAAUAAAUAAAUCCUGCAACGCCGACUCUUCCACUUAAGCCUGAAUCUAACAAUCCACGUUC